GGGAAGGCUACAGGGAAGAUAUUGGGGGGGGGGGUGUAUCGGACAAAAAUGGCUGAAGAUCAAAUUGAGAAGUCACUGACUUCUAGUAACUCUGGGUAUAGGUACAUCUUAUCACUGUAUUUGUGUUGAACUAUGUAGAACUCUGUGUAUACUUUUUCAUCAGGAUGUUCGGAUAGAUGCCAUGUACUGUGUAAGGCAUCAGUAGUAAUUUGUGGUUUACAGUCCUUCAAGGACUGGAAUCAUUCACGGUUUAACGGCACAGCUACAAGGGACUUGACAGCAGGGUUUUAAAUAUGUUCUUCUUGAAUCCAUUCUCAAAAUCAGCUUUAUGAUAUCACAACGAUCUGAGGUCAAACAUUCACUGACUUCCCAGGGAUUCACUUCAAUAACUGACACCACCAAAGAGGAUUGUGAACACUAUAAAUUCAUGUUUUUACUUUUGAAAUGUUCCCAUUCAUCUGAUCAUAGUCUUUAUCCUGUUCUGCAAUACAAAGAGAGGAUUCUGAACAAUAUUUGUAAAAAAAAAAAAAAAGUAAUAUUAUGUUUUAUUUGUGUCUAUUAGGCUGCGUUUUAGACUGGCAGCCCAAAUCCUAUAUUUGUUUCUGACUAAUUGGUAUUUUGAAAAUAAUUUCUGGUUGGUCAAAAGACCAAUUAGUGGGAAGAAAAAGGUCGGAAUUGGACUGCCUUAAACGCAGCCUUAUUGAAUGAAGACUGAGCUGAAUAUAGCUUGUCAUAGCCAGUAGGUGUGGCCAUUGUUCAGGGUCAAGCUUUUCAUCUUUUUUCUCUCUACAGUAUGCGGGUCCUUUUUAUUUAUUGUUUAUUUUCCUUUCACCUUUAUUUAACCAGGUAGGCUAGUUGAGAACAAGUUCUCAUUUACAACUGUGACCUGGCCAAGAUAAAGCAUAGCAGUGUGAACAGACAACACAGAGUUACACAUGGAGUAAACAAUAAACAAGCCAAUAACACAAUAAACAAGUCGAUGACACAGUAGAAAAAAGUCUAUAUGAAGUGUGUGCAAAAGGAAGUAGGCAAUAAAUAGGCCAUAGGAGUGAAUAAUUACAAUUUAGCAGAUUAACACUAAGGUGAUAAAUGAGCAGAUAAUGAUGUGCAAGUAGAGAUACUGGUGUGCAAAAGAGCAGAAAAGUACAUUAAAAACAGUAUUGGGAUGAGGUAGGUAGAUUGGGUGGGCUAUUUACAGAUGGACUAUGCACAGCUGCAGUGAUCGGUUACAGUUAGUUAAGUUACCUGUAUCUCUAUGUCUUAUUGAAGAGAUUACUGAUAGAUUUUUAUUGAAGAUGGGUCAUUCUGCAUUGUAGUGUCUGCGCUCUCACAAUCAACGUAGUAUUUUGAAAGCGAUUCAUCCCUUGCUAAUUGCACUGAAUUAUGUAUUGCGUUACACUACAUGUGAUUGGUUUGAGUGGGGGGAAUCAUAGACACAUUCUCAGCGAGAGCAAAUUUAUUUGAGUAUUUUAUACUUUAGGAUUGAAUGUGUUUUCAUGAGGAGAGCUGUGUGUAUGAAUGGCUGAAGGAGCUGGAUCCCUUGUUCAGGGGUUUAUACAGUAAAGGGAUAUUUUGUUUGAGUCUUGUCUGGAGCUGAUAGACCUACUCUACAGUCUAUUAGUCUUGCCUGGAGCUGAUAGACCUACUCUACAGUCUAUUAGUCUGGCCUGGAGCGGAGUAGGUCUACAUUUUUUUGUUAUUAAUACCUUCCCUGCUGAAGCUGUCUGCAUCUGCAAACGUGCCUGUUUCGAUUGGUCUUUUUGAAGAAUUAGGAAAAUUAUGCAAAAGAAAGCUCUCGACAAAGCUUGUUCUCGGAUGUGCCAAUUACGAUGUCUAUACAGUUUCCGCAAAAAUAUGGUGUAUCUGGAAGUCGUUCAUGUGUCUGUGUGUAUUUGUGAGUAUGUGUGUCAUGGAGACAGUGCACUAUUUUCUAAAUGUACAUACAACUUUUGUAAAUGAAAUGUCUUACUGCAGAGAAUGUAAGCGCCAUGAUAAUAAAUACAUUUAAAACACACAAUGUGCCUUUUCCUUAUGUUAUCAUGCAGAAAAAUGUUAAUAAACAUUGGUGGAUGUAUCUGUGUAUUGUCC
ensembl:lncRNA